rnacentral:rRNA from 1 species
CCUGGCGGCGAUAGCGCGGUGGUCCCACCUGACCCCAUGCCGAACUCAGAAGUGAAACGCCGUAGCGCCGAUGGUAGUGUGGGGUCUCCCCAUGUGAGAGUAGGGAAACUGCCAGGC